UACGUAGGUGGCAAGCGUUGUCCGGAUUUAUUGGGUUUAAAGGGUGCGUAGGCGGCCCCGUAAGUCAGUGCUGAAAUAUCCCGGCUUAACCGGGAGGGUGGCAUUGAUACUGCAGGGCUUGAGUAAAGUUGAGGUAGGCGGAAUUGACGGUGUAGCGGUGAAAUGCUUAGAUGUCGUCAAGAACACCGAUAGUGUAGACAGCUUACUAAGCUUUAACUGACGCUGAGGCACGAAAGUGUGGGGAUCAAACAGG
rnacentral:rRNA from 1 species